rnacentral:rRNA from 1 species
UACGUAGGGUGCGAGCGUUGUCCGGAAUUACUGGGCGUAAAGAGCUCGUAGGUGGUUUGUCGCGUUGUCCGUGAAAACUCACAGCUUAACUGUGGGCGUGCGGGCGAUACGGGCAGACUGGAGUACUGCAGGGGAGACUGGGAAUUCCUGGUGUAGCGGUGGAAGUGCGCAGAUAUCAGGAGGAACACCGGUGGCGAAGGCGGGUCUCUGGGCAGUAACUGACGCUGAGGAGCGAAAGCGUGGGGAGCGAACAGG